rnacentral:rRNA from 1 species
UUCCCUACGGGGGGCAGCAGUAGGGAAUUUUCGUCAAUGGGCGCAAGCCUGAACGAGCAAUGCCGCGUGAACGAGGAGGGUCUUCGGAUCGUAAAGUUCUGUUGAAGGGGAAAAAGAGCGGAGAGGGGAAAUGAACUCCGAUUGAUAUUACCCUUCGAGGAAGUCACGGCUAACUGCGUGCCAGCAGCCGCGGUAAUACGUAGGUGGCGAGCGUUAUCCGGAAUGAUUGGGCGUAAAGGGUGCGUAGGCGGCCGGCUAAGUCUGGAGUGAAAGGUACCGGCUCAACCGGUACAGGCUCUGGAAAG